GGGGGGGGGGGGGGGGGGGGGGGGGGCGGGCGGGGCGGGCGGGAACAGGCGGCGAGGUGCUGGCGGGUGGCGGACGGGGGGGGAAUGCAUCGGAACGUGCCCAGUCGGGGGGGAUAAGUACUCGAAAGGGGAGCUAAUACCGCAUACGAGCUGUGGAUGAAAGCGGGGGACCGUAAGGCCUCGCGCGGGUGGAGCGGCCGAUGUCAGAUUAGGUAGUUGGUGGGGGAAAGGCUCACCAAGCCAACGAUCUGUAGCUGGUCUGAGAGGACGACCAGCCACACUGGGACUGAGACACGGCCCAGACUCCUACGGGAGGCAGCAGUGGGGAAUUUUGGACAAUGGGCGCAAGCCUGAUCCAGCAAUGCCGCGUGCAGGAAGAAGGCCUUCGGGUUGUAAACUGCUUUUGUACGGAACGAAACGGCUCUGGUUAAUACCCGGGGCUAAUGACGGUACCGUAAGAAUAAGCACCGGCUAACUACGUG
rnacentral:rRNA from 1 species